rnacentral:rRNA from 1 species
CAGUCGAGCGCGAAAAGUUUUCGGACUUAGUAAAGCGGCGGACGGGUGAGUAACGUGUGGGAAUCUGCCCAGUAGUGGGGGACAACAGCCGGAAACGGCUGCUAAUACCGCAUACGCCCUACGGGGGAAAGGGGGGGAUCUUCGGACCUCUCGCUAUUGGAUGAGCCCGCGUCGGAUUAGCUAGUUGGUAGGGUAAAGGCCUACCAAGGCUACGAUCCGUAACUGGUCUGAGAGGAUGAUCAGUCACACUGGAACUGAGACACGGUCCAGACUCCUACGGGAGGCAGCAGUGGGGAAUAUUGGACAAUGGGGGCAACCCUGAUCCAGCCAUGCCGCGUGUGUGAAGAAGGCCUUAGGGUUGUAAAGCACUUUCAGUGGGGAGAAAGGUUUGUCACCUAAUACGUGAUGAAAUUGAUGUUACCCACAGAAGAAGCACCGGCUAACUCCGUGCCAGCAGCCGCG